UACGAAGAGGGCUAGCGUUGUUCGGAAUUACUGGGCGUAAAGCGCUCGCAGGCGGCUAUCCAAGUCAGUCGUGAAAGCCCGGAGCUCAACUCCGGAACUGCCAUUGAAACUGUUUAGCUUGAGGAUGAGAGAGGUGAGUGGAAUUCCCAAUGUAGAGGUGAAAUUCGUAGAUAUUGGGAAGAACACCGGUGGCGAAGGCGGCUCACUGGCUCAUUACUGACGCUCAGGCGCGAUAGCGUGGGGAUCAAACAGG
rnacentral:rRNA from 1 species